AUUGGACCUAGCACUGAAAGA
rnacentral:misc_RNA from 1 species